rnacentral:lncRNA from 1 species
GCCCUGCAAUCCUGUAGGUUCUGCCUGCCAUAGGAAAGGUCUCAAGCAAUUUAAGGUGGCAACGUGCUCCAGCCAAGUCUUGCUAGCUGUCUACACCGUCUUUGCCCAGCCACAAGGGAGUUGCACCAGCUGUACUAUAUUCUUUGCGGGGAAUACAGCAAAAUUUUGAGGUGCCUUGUCCUAGGAGAAGCCUCAGCCACUUCUCUGUACAGGGGAAAAAAAAAAUCUAUCAAGUAGGAUGGAGUAUUCAUUCAUGGUGUGAAAUUAACAGCUGUUUCACUAACCUGCUUUUCGUAUUGACUGCAUUCCGGGAAUGGAUUUACCUUAUCUGGAGGUACACAUUCCAAAAUGACAACAUGCAACUGAGCAUUACACCGCUGAUCCACCACUAUCCUGCUGUAGAUCCACAAGAAAAUUUCAGAGACAAAGUACUAAUCUUCAACAUUUUCUGGUUGCAACACAAUAAAAUUUAUUUAUUUAAUUAAAUAUUUUGUAAAAAUGCAUAUAUUUAAAAAUAAAUAAAGAUUGAAAUAUUUAAAUUAAUUAACA